ACCACUGUACUGGGAUAGCUCACUUGGUAGAGCAUGAGACUCUUGAUCUCAGGGUCGCUGGUUUGAGGCCCACAUGGGGUG